rfam:Heligmosomoides polygyrus genome assembly, scaffold: HPBE_scaffold0000018
GCGCCGGUGGUGUAAGGCGAACAUCGAAAGCAUAAGAUGCGGGUUCGAGUCCCGCCUGGCGCA